UUAUAAAGGCCCUCCACAACAAGGUAUGAAAUUGAUUUAAACUCUACUUAAAUUUUUUAAUUCUCACCUUCGGAUCUAGUUAGUCUACACAAUGGUAAAUACUAUGAAUAAAAUCCUAGACAGGGAUAUUUUCGAAUAGAGCAUCUUGUUUCACUUCCUAACUUGAAGUUUUAUCCACUGGGCCAUAUCUAAUUACCCUGCUAAUAGCAUGGUCCUUGAACCAAUUUCAUUCACCUGUAACUUAAUAAAAAAUUUUGACCUCCUACAAUUAUUGCAAGUAAAAUUGCCCCUGUAAUUCCUGGCUUCAAAAGUUAUAUGUUUGUUGAAUUAAGAAGUGUGCUCAUAACUUUAGCUCUCAUUGGAUCAGAAUACCAAAACAGAGUUGUGAUAGAAAAGAAACCUAAUGCUACUUCCAGGUUAUAGUAACCUGAACUCCCAGAACAGGUUAAAUUCUUUGCUCAUUUCCUCAUAAUACUCUAUUGAAUGAUGUAUAAUAGAAGUGAGGGAGAUCAAACCAAAAAUUCCUUAUAAUACUUCAUUGGUAUAUCACAUUAUCAUACCAAAAAGUAAAAUUUUUUUGUGCAUUUAUUUCCUGAAAGGCUAUGUUAUAAUUAACUUCUUGAUAGUUAACAAUUAAUAAGUACUAAGGUUUUUCUAAAUUAAUGAAAACCUUAGCACUAAUAUUAUGAGUAAGAUAACAAAAUAUUGAAGGACAAUUUUAUGUUGGAUUGUUCUGCGUGAUAAUUCUCUUAACAGGAAAUUAUGCUGAA
rnacentral:misc_RNA from 1 species